rnacentral:misc_RNA from 1 species
UCCGAGUUGACCCCGGCAGUCUCCUAUGAGUCCCCGGCAUUAUCCGCUGGCAACAUAGGACGAGGGUUGCGCUCGUUGCGGGACUUAACCCAACAUCUCACGACACGAGCUGACGACAGCCAUGCACCACCUAUCGCAGGCCCUUGCGGACACCGCAUCUCUGCGGCUUUUCCUGCGUAGUUCAACCCAGGUAAGGUUCUUCGCGUCGCAUCGAAUUAAUCCGCAUGCUCCGCCGCUUGUGCGGGCACCCGUCAAUUCCUUUGAGUUUUAGCCUUGCGGCCGUACUCCCCAGGCGGGGCGCUUAAUGCGUUAGCUGCGGCACAGAGGACGUGGAAUGCCCCCCACACCUAGCGCCCAACGUUUACGGCGUGGACUAC